rnacentral:pre_miRNA from 1 species
GAUUUCAAAUGGAAAAAAUGUCAACAAUAAAGUUGUAUAACUUAUCAAGAUUUACAACUUUUAUUUUUGUUAUUUCUUCAUCCGACGAAAUGUUAGUAAUAUUAUUCACAAAUUAUAUAUAUAUGUGUUACAAUUUACAAAACCAGACAAGAGAUAUGUCAAUUUUAUGAACAAUGUUACUAUCACUUUAUCGUAUGAAGAAAUGACCAAAAUAAAAGUUUUAGAUCUUGAUGAGUUAUUCAACUUUGUUGUUGAUNANNUUUUNANUUGANAUC